GAUAGCGUGUGUAACGGUAGGGGUUUCAAAAAGGCAAAAAAAAAAAAAAAGAAAGAAACAAACUCCUUAAAUCUCGCCGGAAAUCAUGGGCUUUCCAGUGAGGCAUGCCUUGCUAGCCAAGGCGUAUUAAUGCGUAUUAAACCCUAGGUACCUUAGUAGCCGUCUUUUCCUUUUUGAGUGACUGUCAUACCUGUGAAGGAGGAGCCGAAUGGUUUAGGUGAGGGAUCGAAAACGUCGCGAGACUUCAGAUCGGGUUCAAUAACGCCGCGAGCUUUAGGUAGGAGCAGGCGCUAGUGUAUGCGGGCAGGGAGGAACAGACGCGCCCCCGGAGAUGGAUGAACGGCGACGCUUCCACAGGUGACAGCAGCCAAGCCCACGAUUAGGGCUAUUGAGGCGUUCGGGCGAGGAAGACGAAGCGGCGGGCGCGGGUCGACCCUCGGCAUUCUGCGGUUCGUCUCGGCUGGCGUGCAGCCCACACCUCGCAGGCCGCGCUCAAGCCCACCAUUGGGCCUCGUUCCUUUUCGGCCCAAACCAGGGGUGAGCCAAAAAAAAACCCUGCGCCGUUAGGGUUCUUCGAAGCCCAUCGGUUUCGGCUCCACCAGCGGCUCGGCCAGGUCGGCUCGGCUGUGCGGCUUGGCGGCGCGGCUCGACAGCUUGGCAGCGCGGCUCGGCGGCUCGACAUCCGAAUAGCAUACCGGUUUCUAGGUUUUUGACCCUUCUGGAGUCAUUCCCACCCUUGUUUCAGCCAUCUGAGGAGGUAGUUAGGCGCUGGAGUUAGCAUUGUGGGUGACUUCGGCCAAGGCCAAGGAGGAAAGGGCAAGGCUCCCAUGUACGGAUGACGGUGGAUGAGGCGAAGGGCCAUGGAAAUCUUGAGGAGGGUUUGUUGUGUCGUAGCGCCUGUUGGAUUCUCUUGGGUUCUUAGUUUUGCGAAUUGUUUUCUCUAGUCUCUGUUGAUUACUUCUAGGCUAGGUUGUCGCAAUUGUUUUCCUAGGUAUGAACUGCUUAAAUUGAUGAAUGCAUUUUCGUUAUCGAGGCUGUCCCAUGUGAA